CACCCUUUUGAAAAGGUGGCAUUCACUAGUUGUCAGAAUUAAGGAACACCAAAUUAAGGCGCCAAUAAAACCGCAUUGGGCCCAAAACUGCGCCACUGGGUUUAAUCCCGACGUUUUGGAUUAAUACCGGGCGCUAAUUUCAAACAUUUAGGGCAGCUCUUCAGAAGAAAAUAACGAAGCCGGAAACGCCAUACUUAUUGAACAAACAUUUGUUUUUGUAUGCUGGAGAGUUAGGGAAUUGUGCUUCAUGCCACGGGCACCCCGGGAGCGUUUCAUCACAUGCAAAGGGGAUAAUUGUGAAGCUGGAGGUCGGAGCCCGCACCUUCCUUUUCUCUAAGUCCUCUGGGAACCCGCGGAAAAAGGAGAGGCGCCAGAGAGGGAGAUGCGCUUUGCACCCAAAGGUCUUUCGCAGAGGGCUGGAGCGCGCCCCCGCCUGCGUCCUGCUUCCUGAGUGACCCCGAGUCUGCGCCCAACGGACUAGGAUGAUAGAAGGAGUUGCAGUCUGGUUCCCAGGUUGUUGGGUGUUGUGCCUCCUCUGCUCUCACUUGCUCCUGCCAUGCUUAUGCCAGCGAUAGCUACUGUUUGUCAAACAUCUGCUUCGUACCGGUUACUCACAGCACUUCCUGCGUGGAAUCUCACUGAAUCCUCUCUACUUACCUUUCAAAGUUCUACAAAUUGGGAAUUUGAAAGUAACUGAGCUGGAUAAUUUUGGCUCCAGGUGUCUUAAGAAUUAUCUACGGGCUUCCUGAUGAGGAGGAAGUUGAGGGCUUGAUUUUG